rnacentral:tRNA from 1 species
GCGGGAAUGGCGGAAUUGGCAGACGCGCACGGUUCAGGUCCGUGUGAGGGCAACUUCAUGCAGGUUCAAGUCCUGUUUCCCGCACCA